rnacentral:rRNA from 1 species
UAUCACAGCCAUAUCACCCUGCAGCUCAAGAUCGGUUACUCACUGAAGCUAAGCAAGGCUGAGCCUGGUCAGUACCUGGAUGCGAGACCACAUGGGAAAACUAGGUAGCUGUUGGAA